UGUAGGAGCGGGUGGGAUUGGUCAAGAAUGCCUGUAGGAGCCGGUGGGAUUGGUCAAGAAUACCUGUAGGAGCCGGAGGGAUUGGUCAGAAUUCCUUUGGGAGCUGUCCGUCUUGGUCAAGAGUAUCUGAUGGAGCAGAAGAGAUUGGUCAGAAUUCCUUUAGAAGUGGGGGAGAUGGGUCAGACUUCCAUCAGGAACAGGUGGGAUUAAAAACACCUCUCAGCCACCAGGACGUUCGUAGUCAUCUCGCAUAUCCUUGUUAAAUGAAAAUUCUAUCGUUAAUUAGGAAGCGCUUGCACCAUUAAUGAUUCAAGUCACAAAGUAAUUGCACGCUGUAACUCUAUAUCCGCUGUAAUAUGUCACCUUGUGCAGGCUGAGCAGAUAAUGCACUAAAAUAUUCACGUUCAGUAGAAUAGUGAGGUUUGCAUUUGCAGCACAAAGGCCAUGGAUUGUUUAACUAAAUUGUUUCAUCAAGAUGAUAAACAGCAGGAGUUGUGAAGUGUACGGCUGUA
ensembl:lncRNA